UAGAUACCCUAUUAUACUAAAUGUUAAUUUUUUAAACUUGGGUAGUAUUAGUUAAGUUCUUGAAACCCAAAGAAUUUGGCGGUAUUUUAGUCUUUUCAGAGGAACCUGUUGUUUAAUUGAUAGUCCACGAUUUUAUUUACUUAUAUUUGUUUUCAGCUUUUAUAUCUCCGUCAUAAGAAUAUUUUUUUAGAAUAAAUUUUCUUAAUUGUUAAAUACUCAGAUGUCAGGUCAAGGUGAAGCUUAUGUAUAAGUACUAAUGGGUUACAAUAAAUUUAUUUAUAUGGAUUUUUAGACUUAUGUUUAAAUUGAAGGUGGAUUUGUAAGUAAAGAUUAUUAAUUAAUUUUCUUGAUUUUAGCUCUAAAAUAUGC
rnacentral:rRNA from 1 species